GACGAACGCUGGCGGCAUGCCUAAUCCAUGCAAGUCGAGCGAACAGAUGAAGUGCUUGCACUUCUGACGUUAGCGGCGAACGGGUGAGUAACACGUAAGGAAUCUACCUAUAAGCGGGGGAUAACAUUCGGAAACGGGUGCUAAUACCGAAUAAUAUCUUCUUCCGCAUGGAAGAAGAUUGAAAGACGGCUCUGCUGUCACUUAUAGACGACCUUGCGGUGCAUUAGUUAGUUGGUGGGGUAACGGCCUACCAAGACGAUGAUGCAUAGCCGACCUGAGAGCGUGAUCGGCCGCAAUGGGACUGAGACACGGCCCAAACUCCUACGGGAGGCAGCAGUAGGGAAUCUUCCGCAAUGGGCGAAAGCCUGACGGAGCAAUGCCGCGUGAGUGAAGAAGGCCUUCGGGUCGUAAAACUCUGUUAUAAGAGAAGAACAAAUUGUAGAGUAACUGCUACAGUCUUGACGGUAUCUUAUCAGAAAGCCACGGCUAACUACGUGCCAGCCGCCGCAGUAA
rnacentral:rRNA from 1 species